rnacentral:misc_RNA from 1 species
AUUUACAAGUAGUUAAAAGAUAUGGAAAUGUACAAAUAUGCAAAAUAAGUCGUUAAAAUUAAUGACAAAUAAACACUUAAAUAUACGUGAUAUUAAUAAAAAAAUAAAACUUUUUAUUUUACACCAAAAUAAGGAACAUAACAAGAAAUAAUUGUGUUUGCUCGCAAACGAAAAAAAAACCGACUUCAAUUACAUCGACAAGUAAUACAAC